rnacentral:lncRNA from 1 species
GAACUCCUUAUGAAGCAACAGGUUUGUUACUAACUGUAGUAUGAAGAGCUUUUGCCUAUGAGUGAAACAUGUCUAUGAAACUUCCUCAAGAGAUCCCAGGAAAAGAGAACACUGAGGAAAGAAGCAAACUUUGUUGCUCCUGAGACUCCUCCUAUUAAUCACAGUCAAGUCAGGAUUUUGAAAAACAGCAGUAGAUAAAGAAAUUACUGUCACUGAAGAAAGAGAGAGCUCCAGGAGCCGCAGCAUUUCACCUACAACCAAGAACAAGGAUGCAAAAUUGAUUCAGGAAUAUCUGAAUACCACUCAGAUACUCAGAUUUGCACCCCAUCAGAGGAAUACAGGGCCACCACUCCAUUUCUUGGCUGUCUGCAUAUUGGGGAGCUUGAUGUCUCCAUGAAGGACUAUGCUUGAGAAGUAGUGGGAUGACAAAUUAAAGUGGUGGUCAAGGAAGUAAAGCCUUGCUGGUAAGAGGUUUUUUCCUUAUCCAAGAUACUGAGAAUCUGGGCUCACACAAAGUGAAAUCAGACUAGGAUGAGGUGCAUCUUAGUGUUUUAAAGAUAAAAUCACUUAAAAAAAUUAUUUGCUACACUUUUAUUUCCAAAUUUCCAGACAUACUGCCCCUAAAGGGAUUUACCUAGAAGCAUUGGAA